GCGGGCACGCCUGGGACGUGGCGCCGACGUGGGAACCGAAGAGGAGUGACGCCUGUGGCAUCUUUCGCUGCUGUCACUUUCUCCCGCAUUUUGGGACAUGUUAGUUUUCCGUUACAGGUUUCGGGUUGUAUCUUUGGCGCCAAGGAAUUAUGGAUCUUGUUGCCCCGUUAGAUCGCUAUGCGCACAGCUCUCAAAGCGCUCUGAACCUUUCAAUGCAUCAUCUGC
rnacentral:lncRNA from 1 species